rnacentral:rRNA from 1 species
AACGAGCGCUGGCGGCAGGCUUAACACAUGCAAGUCGAACGCAUCCUUCGGGGUGAGUGGCAGACGGGUGAGUAACGCGUGGGAACGUGCCCUUCAGUUCGGGAUAACCCAGGGAAACUUGGGCUAAUACCGGAUACGUGCGAGAGCAGAAAGAUUUAUCGCUGAAGGAUCGGCCCGCGUCUGAUUAGCUAGUUUGGGGGGUAAUGGCCCACCAAGGCGACGAUCAGUAGCUGGUCUGAGAGUAUGAUCAGCCACAUUGGGACUGGGACACGGCCCAAACUCCUACGGGAGGCAGCGGUGGGAAUAUUGGACAAUGGGCGCAAGCCUGAUCCAGCCAUGCCGCGUGAGUGAUGAAGGCCUUAGGGUUGUAAAGCUCUUUCGUCCGGGACGAUAAUGACGGUACCGGAAGAAGAAGCCCCGGCUAACUUCGUGCCAGCCGCCGCCGUAAAAC